rnacentral:tRNA from 1 species
GCCUGCUUAGCACCACGGUUAUAGCGUCGUAUUUGUAAUGGGGAGGUCAUCGGUUCGAUUCCGAGAGUAGGCU